rnacentral:tRNA from 1 species
GCCUCUAUGGCACAGGGGUAAUGCGUGUCACUCGUACAGUUAUUGACUUGCGGUGUAAUGACAAGAUCCGCGGUUCGAUUCCGCGUGGAGGCA